rnacentral:rRNA from 1 species
AACGAACGCUGGCGGCAGGCCUAACACAUGCAAGUCGAGCGCGCCCUUCGGGGUGAGCGGCGGACGGGUGAGUAACGCGUGGGAACGUGCCCUUUUCUACGUAAUAGCCUCGGGAAACUGAGAGUAAUACCGUAUACGCCCUUUGGGGGAAAGAUUUAUCGGAAAAGGAUCGGCCCGCGUUGGAUUAGGUAGUUGGUGGGGUAAUGGCCUACCAAGCCGACGAUCCAUAGCUGGUUUGAGAGGAUGAUCAGCCACACUGGGACUGAGACACGGCCCAGACUCCUACGGGAGGCAGCAGUGGGGAAUCUUAGACAAUGGGGGCAACCCUGAUCAAGCCAUGCCGCGUGAGUGAUGAAGGCCUUAGGGUUGUAAAGCUCUUUCAGCUGGGAAGAUAAUGACGGUACCAGCAGAAGAAGCCCCGGCUAACUCCGUG